AGUAAAUAAAGGCAACCUCUUCCGAAAGGAAUUGGACGCAAAGCUAAAGGGGCUAACGUACAUAAAUACAAUGCCAGCCAGUUGCAGAA
rnacentral:ncRNA from 1 species